AUACUUUUUCUGCUGACGGCUUUCGCAUAUAAAAGCCGGCGCCAACUUUUGAAACCAAACACACUUAGUUCAGCACUCGCAGACAGGUGAAACAUGAAAAGCGUACUGAUUUUAGCUCUUCUCUUCGCUGUGGUUUACAGCCAGCCGCUCAAUAAUGCCUACCUGCCUCCCCAAACGUCCUACGUCUACCCAGUUCCACCCGUCCAACCCUUAGUUUUCGGAUCAGGAGUAGGAAUUCCAGCUCCAGCUCCAGAAAUUUCAGGUUUCCAGUGGCAAAGAGGCUGUGCUGACUGCAAUAAUCCAAGCAAUUAAACCGAAAGGCAUAAUUUGGAGGUUUGAAACAUUUUUAACUAAAUAUGCCCUGUGAAAACUAGUCUAGUUGUUAUAAAUAAUAAAAAAAUUCUAACAAGACUUUGGAUGUGUGUUUUAACGAAAAUUCGCCUCCGGGGCUUAUCAAGAUUGAUCACAUAAUUAGAUGGGUAAUUAAACAUUUUAAAUUAACGAUUCCUUUGGAUGAGGUCACGCAACCAAAUGCAAAUCAUAACAUUUAAUCAAUGUAAACCGGUAGGCAUCAAAUGUGGAAAUAUAUCAAUGUUAUUGCUAAUUGCUUAUAAAAUUGACAUGUUUUUGACCGAAUCCGAGGAUAUGUUUGCCUAUAAAACCGAAAGCAACGUUUGUCAACUUUACUGUGUCUUGUGCGUUUUAACUCAUCCCAUUCGCAAUGCGUGCCAUUUUGCUUUUAGUUUCAAUGGCUUCUCUAAUCUGUGCGGGAGUCGUAGACAAUCGGUACCUUCCAGCAGUCGUGCCUCCAUCAUCCAACAAUGAUAAAGAUGUCGGCAAUGUGAUUUUACUACCGCCAGAUGUAAUAUUGACGCAGAGUCCAAAGCAGGACGAUAAGCAGUCGCUAGAGUUUACAAAUCUAGUGCACACCAACUCCUGUGCUGGUUGCAAUCAGAUUUAUAAGAAAAUUUUUUAGCCGCUGGCAUUGUGUUACUAAAUAAAACGAUCCCGAAUUGCCUAA